UUUAAAAUAAUGAUACACCCAACCACACCACUAACAAUCAACACUAAGCCCCCAUAAAUAGGAGAAGGCUUAGAAGAAAACCCCACAAACCCCAUUACUAAAACCACACUUAACAAAAAUAAAGCAUAUGUCAUUAUUCUCGCACGGACUACAACCACGACCAAUGAUAUGAAAAACCAUCGUUGUAUUUCAACUACAAGAACACUAAUGACCCCAACACGCAAAACCAACUCGUUAAUAAAAUUAAUUAACCACUCAUU
rnacentral:lncRNA from 1 species